UGUUAGGUUUGGUCCUGACCUUAGUGUUAAUUGCAACUAAAAUUAUACAUGCAAGUUUCAGCCCCCCUGUGAGAAUGCCCUAAGUAUUCUAUUAAAUAAUUAGGGGCGGGCAUCAGGCACACAUUUUACAUGUGGCCCAAGACGCCUUGCUCAGCCACACCCUAAGGGUUUUCAGCAGUAAUAAACAUUGAUUACAUAAGCGUAAGCUUGAAUCAGUUAAAGUCGACAGAGUUGGUAAAUCUCGUGCCAGCCACCGCGGUUAUACGAGUGACUCACAUUAACACUUCCCGGCGUAAAGUGUGAUUUAAGGAUGACCUCCAAAUAACUAUAGUUAUGACCUCAUCAAGCUGUUAUACGCAUUCGUGAACGGAAUAAUCAACAACGAAAGUGACUCUAAAUUACCAGGAAUCUUGAUGUCACGACAGUUGGGCCCCAAACUAGGAUUAGAUACCCUACUAUGCCCUACCAUAAACUUAGACAAUACCCUACUAUAUUGUCCGCCAGAGUACUACAAGCGCUAGCUUAAAACCCAAAGGACUUGGCGGUGCCCCACACCCACCUAGAGGAGCCUGUUCUAUAACCGAUAAUCCCCGUUAAACCUCACCACUUCUUGCCAUUACCGUCUAUAUACCGCCGUCGUCAGCUCACCCCGUGAGGGUUAAAAAGUAAGCAAAAAGAAUUAAACUCCUAAACGUCAGGUCGAGGUGUAGCGAAUGAAGUGGAAAGAAAUGGGCUACAUUUUUUUACCAAAAAAUACGGACAGUAAACUGAAAAAUUACCCAAAGGUGGAUUUAGCAGUAAGAGAAGGUCAGAGUACUUCUCUGAAACUGGCUCUGGGGCGCGCACACACCGCCCGUCACUCUCCUCAAUAAAUACACUUAUUUUUAUAAAAAUUUUACCAAAACAAGAGGAGGCAAGUCGUAACAUGGUAAGUGUACUGGAAAGUGCACUUGGAAC
rnacentral:ncRNA from 1 species